rnacentral:lncRNA from 1 species
UUGAUGGUGACUUUUGCGUAAGAAUGUGUAAUUCUCCAGCAAUGCAAGUUAUUUUUAAAUCCAUUGACACUUAACCGAAAUAUAGGGUAUGGUGGAUGUCAGUAAAACUUAUGUUGAAUAAAAGUAUAACAACUAAUUAAAAAUCGAGAAGGAAUCACAAAAAGGAAACAAGUGAAUGGCGAUAAGAAUAAUUAUAAAGCUUGUUGCUGUCAUAUUGGCUACAAUGAACAAAAUGGUGUAUUGGUUAGUAGUUUAUGUAUGCUUUUAUUUGUUAUUUUUUUCUUCUUUGGAAGAUUUUGGUUGUUUGAUUUUGGAUGUUGGUGAAAAUUAUUUAUAUCUAUUGAUCCUAAUAUGAUGACAAAUGUUUGUAGCGUGUGCCAUUUAUUUACGUUGAUCCAGAGAGGAUUGCAUACAUAUGCAAGGUGCCUGUGAACGAGUUUAGAGCAGCUGCUGUAGUCGCAGACUGGUUUCAUCAAUUAGAUGAUAUCGUUGUACGUUUUUAAUUAGUUUUUUUAACAAGUAGAUAUUCAAAUUUAUCAAUUGAUUUCAAACUAUAAUUCAUUAAUUUUUGUUGUUGUUGUUGUUGUUAUUCAGGAUUGGGUUUCCGAGUUAUGCUUUUGAACAGGUAAGAAAUUUUUUGAUCAUAUUCUUUAUGUUUUAAUUUGUACUAGAUGUACUAGCUGUGGAUGCGUGCUACACACCAUUGUUAGGAUUAAUUUGUAUUCUUAAAUGAUAUAUAUUGUGUCCGGUAUUGGCAAAAGUGUUUCUGAGGUGUUGAUUAGUAUUCCAUAAGAAAAAGAAGAGAUAACCGUACAAUAUAUAGUAUGCAGACAGUGAGGAAACUUAAUUAGCAUUAUAAAUUGAGAAAAUAUACAUUUCAAGUAUGGUUAUCUUUAUUAUGAGUAAGAUCUUGAUGUAAAUGUGUAGUUUGAGGUUGCUUAGUAUUUUUCAGUCCUCCUUUCAAUUUCAACCACUUAACUCUCUCUAUGGAGCGUGGAAUCCUUAAUCACAAAGCAUUAUUUUUUCUACUUUACUUCAGGUAGCUCUAAUUAGGCUAUUUUUUUGCGUGAACUUGGAACUGCUUCUUUUGUUUGAAUCUUUUUUCUUCCACAUUUUUGAAAUUUUUCGAAAAUUUUGGGAAUUUGACUGUGCUUCAAUUUGUAAUUUAUUCCAGUACUAGCAAUUCAUGAACUGAGCCUGUAGAAACUUGAAACAACUUCUGUACUAAAUGUCAUGGACUUGGUUGAUAGGUCCAAUUUUGAUGCGCAAGAACUAGGAUAAGAGACCAAUGGUUGCUUCUUGCCAGUAUCUACAUCUCUAAACUUAUUCUAUGUCAUUUGCCGGCCUCUACUUCUAUGUAGCUUGCAUCACCCUUCAUUUAGCCAAAGUUUGCGCUGGUUACAGCCACACACUUCUUUAGCCAGAGACAUCUGAAAGUUUUGAAAUGGCAUACCAUAAUCUUGUCUUUGAGAUUAUCAGUAAUUAAUUUUACGGAAAAUGGUCACACUUUGUAUCAUGUCAACAAUAUCUGAAGAUUAAUUGAAAACGCUUUUGAUGUGUGAUUGAUCUACCUUAUUCCGGUGUUCAUUUUGUAGAUGAUCAUAAUCUUGAGUCAUGAUCCCUAUCCCUAGCUGAUUAUGGUGCUUUGUUGGGUCUACCAUGGGCUACCUUAUUCCGGUGUUCAUUUUGUAGAUGAUCAUAAUCUUGAGUCCUGAUCCUUAUAGCCCUGGCUAAGUAUGGUGCUUUGUUGGGUCUACCAUGGACUACCUUAUUCCGGCGUUCAUUUUGUAAAUGAUCAUAAUCUUGAGUCCUGAACUCCUGAUGCCUACCCCUGGCUGACUAUGGUGCUUUGUUGGGUCUACAAUGAAUCCCAAGUUCUAACUGUGAGUCAGUGAGUAUGCACUUUUCACACUGCAGUACCAAUUGUUGGGCCCAAUAAUUGUGAGUAUACCUUAUAUUGGGCCAACAAUUAUUGAGUUGAUUGGCACAAUGUCACGAUUACCCACCAGGCACCACUCUGCAAGUCUGCAGUCCCACUAGUCCACUACCACUUUGUUGUCUACUCUUCUAGAGUUCCAGUCUCAACUUGUGUUCUUUACUCUUGUACAUGCAUCAUAAGAAUAGAGAAUAGAUUAAACAAGUAGUACAUAUUCAAUGGCAAGCACCAUCUCAGUUCUUGAGCUGCGGAUUACUUCACUAUAGGUUGUCACAGAGAUCACUAUCAGUUACACAAAAUGUAUCCACUUCCACAUUUAAUUUACCAGUUCUGAAACACACAAAUUACUAGUUACUACAUCUCAAUUGGAUUUAGCCUAAAACAACAUGGAUCACGUUUGACCUAUCUUCCUUACCCACGUAGAAGCAGAAGCAGGUUAAACCGUUGAACUACUUUGAGCAAAACUCAAGUUGCAAGAAUCAUCGAAUAUUCAAAUUAUGGUAAGAUCCAAACAUAUUUUCUCGAAUUAGUCAGAUGUGGUAGGAUCAUCAAUUUUUUAUUUUUUUUCAAGAACUGACCAAAACUUGUGGAUACUUUAAUAUAUAUCCACCAAAACAAACUUGUGGAUACACUUCUAGUCUCAACUCUCAACUUUAUUGAUGGGAAGUGCAUGAAGUCAGAAUUCAAAAGUUGCAGUGCUUUAUGAUAU